AUUCAUCUGACGAGUCGCAAAUAGGACGAAACGUUCAGCCUGGAU
rfam:Schistosoma curassoni strain Dakar, Senegal genome assembly, scaffold: SCTD_scaffold0007673